UACGUAGGGUGCGAGCGUUGUCCGGAAUUAUUGGGCGUAAAGAGCUCGUAGGCGGCUUGUCGCGUCGGAUGUGAAAGCCCGGGGCUUAACUCCGGGUCUGCAUUCGAUACGGGCAGGCUAGAGUUCGGUAGGGGAGAUCGGAAUUCCUGGUGUAGCGGUGAAAUGCGCAGAUAUCAGGAGGAACACCGGUGGCGAAGGCGGGUCUCUGGGCCGAAACUGACGCUGAGGAGCGAAAGCGUGGGGAGCAAACAGG
rnacentral:rRNA from 1 species